rnacentral:rRNA from 1 species
AGCGAACGCUGGCGGCAGGCCUAACACAUGCAAGUCGAACGGAUCCUUCGGGAUUAGUGGCGGACGGGUGAGUAACACGUGGGAACGUGCCCUUUGGUUCGGAACAACUCAGGGAAACUUGAGCUAAUACCGGAUGUGCCCUUCGGGGGAAAGAUUUAUCGCCAUUGGAGCGGCCCGCGUCUGAUUAGCUAGUUGGUGAGGUAACGGCCCACCAAGGCGACGAUCAGUAGCUGGUCUGAGAGGAUGAUCAGCCACACUGGGACUGAGGCACGGCCCAGACUCCUACGGGAGGCAGCAGUGGGGAAUCUUGCGCAAUGGGCGAAAGCCUGACGCAGCCAUGCCGCGUGAAUGAUGAAGGUCUUAGGAUUGUAAAAUUCUUUCAGCGGGGACGAUAAUGACGGUACCCGCAGAAGAAGCUCCGGCUAACUUCGUG